AGCCAAGAAUGUUUAAUCUAAUUCAAGCUAUAUUGCGUAGAUAUUCUGUCUCCCCCACGAGGAAGUCAAAGUAAUGACAACAACACUGUCAGCGCGUCCACAUGAUACGAGGCUUCCAUGACCGAGCGCACACCUAGUAGCCAAGGAGGACACGGAG